GGAGAGAUGGGUGAGGUGAGUGGCUUAAACCAGCAGUUUGCUAAACUGCCGUAUGGGUAACUGUACCGGGGGUUCGAAUCCCCCUCUCUCCGCCA
rnacentral:tRNA from 1 species